CUGCAUCUCUGACUUUUCCUCUUUCAGACUCGGUCAGUCAUCUGCUUCAGUUUCAUCUCCCUGUAUCAUAACUAAAGUAUCUGUGUCUUAACAUCUGCUUCCUCUGGAGAUCAGUUCAGGAUCCAGGUGGUGCAGACAUCAGUGAUCUCAGCUUGUACAGCCGACUCCCACAGGGUGCAGACGGUCUUUUGUUCUGUGCUGUCCCUCCUUCCAUGAAGCCAUCUUCUCCAAACAACAGCAUGGCACCUCACUGUUAUCAGACUGGAGACUGUCCAGCAGCCCUGAUAUCACAGCAUGAGAGUCACAAACAGGAAAGAGCAUGUAUGACAAGACCUGUUGCAGUUUACAACGUGUCGAACUGUGGACCAUUUUCUAGACCUGAUUCAGACUGAGUGACAGUCUGUGACAAAAGUUGUUUAACAGUGUCACAUGGGUUGAUCCCAAGAAGCAACCUCAGCAGCCCUUGGUCCCAGAAACUUCAGUUCCUGGAAUGUUAAGUAGAGGCUUGUUCCCAAAGUGAGCCAAUCCCCAUAGAGCCCCAUGUUAAAAUGUCACACUUGUACAUCAGAAAUAAACAUGUUUACAACCUG